rnacentral:rRNA from 1 species
GACGAACGCUGGCGGCGUGCCUAAUACAUGCAAGUCGGGCGAAUGGAAGGGAGCUUGCUCCCUGAAGUUAGCGGCGGACGGGUGAGUAACACGUGGGCAACCUGCCUGUAAGACUGGGAUAACUUCGGGAAACCGGAGCUAAUACCGGAUACGUUCUUUCCUCGCAUGAGGAAAGAUGGAAAGAUGGUUUCGGCUAUCACUUACAGAUGGGCCCGCGGCGCAUUAGCUAGUUGGUGGGGUAACGGCCCACCAAGGCGACGAUGCGUAGCCGACCAGAGAGGGUGAUCGGCCACACUGGGACUGAGACACGGCCCAGACUCCUACGGGAGGCAGCAGUAGGGAAUCUUCCGCAAUGGACGAAAGUCUGACGGAGCAACGCCGCGUGAGCGAAGAAGGCCUUCGGGUCGUAAAGCUCUGUUGUCAGGGAAGAACAAGUGCCAGAGUAACUGCUGGCACCUUGACGGUACCUGACCAGAAAGCCACGGCUAACUACGUGCCAGCAGCCGCGGUAA